rnacentral:rRNA from 1 species
UCCGUAGGGUGCAAGCGUUGUCCGGAAUUAUUGGGCGUAAAGAGCUCGUAGGCGGUCUGUCGCGUCGGCUGUGAAAACUCGGGGCCCAACCCCGAGCCUGCAGUCGAUACGGGCAGACUAGAGUGCAGUAGGGGAGACUGGAAUUCCUGGUGUAGCGGUGAAAUGCGCAGAUAUCAGGAGGAACACCGGCGGCGAAGGCGGGUCUCUGGGCUGUAACUGACGCUGAGGAGCGAAAGCGUGGGGAGCGAACAGG